UACGUAGGGGGCAAGCGUUGUCCGGAUUUAUUGGGCGUAAAGAGCGUGUAGGCGGCCAGGUAGGUCCGCUGUGAAAACUCGAGGCUCAACCUCGAGAUGUCGGCGGAAACCAUCUGGCUAGAGUCCGGAAGAGGGGAGUGGAAUUCCUGGUGUAGCGGUGAAAUGCGCAGAUAUCAGGAAGAACACCCGUGGCGAAGGCGGCUCUCUGGGACGGUACUGACGCUGAGACGCGAAAGCGUGGGGAGCGAACAGG
rnacentral:rRNA from 1 species